AACGAACGUUGGCGGCGUGGAUUAGGCAUGCAAGUCGAACGAGAACCACUGGGUAACUGGUGGGGAAAGUGGCGAAAGGGGCAGCAAGGCGUGGAUAACCUACCCCGGGGACCGGGAUAGCCAUCCUAACGGGUGGGUAAUACCGGGCGCCGUAGCCGGGUCGCAUGGUCUGGCUACGAAAUGAGUUUCGCCCUGGGAGGGGUUCACGUGGUAUUAGCUUGUUGGUGAGGUAACGGCUCACCAAGGCAAAGANGCCUAGCAGGUGUGAGAGCACGACCUGCGCCACUGGCACUGAGACACUGGCCAGACUCCUACGGGAGGCUGCAGUCGAGGAUCUUCGGCAAUGGGCGCAAGCCUGACCGAGCGACGCCGCGUGAGGGAGGAAAUCC
rnacentral:rRNA from 1 species